AAAUUGAAGAGUUUGAUCAUGGCUCAGAUUGAACGCUGGCGGCAGGCCUAACACAUGCAAGUCGAGCGGAAACGGCAGCAUUGAAGCUUCGGUGGAUUUGCUGGACGUCGAGCGGCGGACGGGUGAGUAACGGCUGGGAACCUGCCCUGACGAGGGGGAUAACCGUUGGAAACGACGGCUAAUACCGCAUAAUGUCUUCGGACCAAAGGUGGCCUCUACAUGUAAGCUAUCGCGUUGGGAUGGGCCCAGUUAGGAUUAGCUAGUUGGUAAGGUAAUGGCUUACCAAGGCAACGAUCCUUAGCUGGUUUGAGAGGAUGAUCAGCCACACUGGGACUGAGACACGGCCCAGACUCCUACGGGAGGCAGCAGUGGGGAAUAUUGCACAAUGGGGGAGAUCCUGAUGCAGCCAUGCCGCGUGUGUGAAGAAGGCCUUCGGGUUGUAAAGCACUUUCAGCAGUGAGGAAGGUAAUGUACUUAAUACGUGCAUUGCUUGACGUUAGCUGCAGAAGAAGCACCGGCUAACUCCGUGCCAGCAGCCGCGGUAAUACGGAGGGUGCGAGCGUUAAUCGGAAUUACUGGGCGUAAAGCGCAUGCAGGCGGUUUGUUAAGUCAGAUGUGAAAGCCCGGGGCUCAACCUCGGAACCGCAUUUGAAACUGGCAGGCUAGAGUCUUGUAGAGGGGGGUAGAAUUUCAGGUGUAGCGGUGAAAUGCGUAGAGAUCUGAAGGAAUACCAGUGGCGAAGGCGGCCCCCUGGACAAAGACUGACGCUCAGAUGCGAAAGCGUGGGUAGCAAACAGGAUUAGAUACCCUGGUAGUCCACGCCGUAAACGCUGUCUACUUGGAGGUUGAGGUUUAAGACUUUGGCUUUCGGCGCUAACGUAUUAAGUAGACCGCCUGGGGAGUACGGCCGCAAGGUUAAAACUCAAAUGAAUUGACGGGGGCCCGCACAAGCGGUGGAGCAUGUGGUUUAAUUCGAUGCAACGCGAAGAACCUUACCUACUCUUGACAUCCAGCGAAUCCUUUAGAGAUAGAGGAGUGCCUUCGGGAGCGCUGAGACAGGUGCUGCAUGGCUGUCGUCAGCUCGUGUUGUGAAAUGUUGGGUUAAGUCCCGCAACGAGCGCAACCCUUAUCCUUGUUUGCCAGCACAUAAUGGUGGGAACUCCAGGGAGACUGCCGGUGAUAAACCGGAGGAAGGUGGGGACGACGUCAAGUCAUCAUGGCCCUUACGAGUAGGGCUACACACGUGCUACAAUGGCAGAUACAGAGGGCAGCGAAGCUGCGAAGUGGAGCGAAUCCCUUAAAGUCUGUCGUAGUCCGGAUUGGAGUCUGCAACUCGACUCCAUGAAGUCGGAAUCGCUAGUAAUCGUGGAUCAGAAUGCCACGGUGAAUACGUUCCCGGGCCUUGUACACACCGCCCGUCACACCAUGGGAGUGGGCUGCACCAGAAGUAGAUAGCUUAACCUUCGGGAGGGCGUUUACCACGGUGUGGUUCAUGACUGGGGUGAAGUCGUAACAAGGUAGCCCUAGGGGAACCUGGGGCUGGAUCACCUCCUUA
rnacentral:rRNA from 1 species